rnacentral:lncRNA from 10 species
CACAAUUUCCCUGCCUCCAGUCCUUCCCCAUCCCUAAGACUCAACACUUCUCUGCUUCCUGAAACACUUGAUUUUCCAGGAAUGGAGGCCUCCUGCUUGAAAGAGUAUUAUCCUCUUUAUGAACUGACUUUCUGGCUAUCUACCUAGGUGUCUUAAGAAGACUGCAACCUAGACGGGAUCUUGCUAAGCUGGUCUGGAACUCCUGGAGUCAAGAAAUCCACCUGCCUCAGCCUCCCCUGCUGGGAUUACAGGCAUGAGCCCUCACCAUACCUGGCUUUGGCAGUUUCUUGGUACCUAAAGACUUUUUUAGGAAAUUGGUAACAGUAUCAGUCAAUGUGAUUUUUUGAUGUCAUAUAAUGAAAUGUGUCAACACUGAAGAUCUGUAUAACUCGAGGAAGCAAUAUUUCCCAAAUGGCAGUGAAUGAGAUUACAAAAUCAUGCAUGCAAAAAUGCAUUCAAAGUCGAAGAUAGAACAGCAGGUUUUAACAUAACAGUACCAAAAGUUCAUGGAUGUGGUUUCAGAUUCUCCAUUCCAGCUAACUUUUAAGAAACCAUAACUUGUGGAGUUUUGGAAUAAUAUCAAAGAAGAAUACCCACAAUGAUCUUAAAAGGCUAUUAAAAUACUCACUUCUUUUCCAACUACAUAUCUGUGUGAGGCCAGAUUUUCUUCAUAUGUUUCAACUAAAACAAGAUAUUGGAACAGAUUGAACACAGAAGCAGAUAUGAAAAUUUAGGUGUCUUUUAAGUCAGACAUUAAAGAGAUGUGCAAAAAUGUAAAAUAAUGCCACUCUUCCUAAAUUUGUUUUUGUUUUGGAAAAUACAGAUUUUUUUAUUAAAAUUUGUUAUUUAUGUUAAACAUUUAUUACUGUUAUUUUUAAAUGGAUCAAUAAAUGUUUUCCAAAAGUUUUCAGUUUCAUUUUUCUUUUUUUCUUUUUAGAGAUGGAGUCUUGCUCUGUCGCCCAGGCUGGAGUAUAGUGGCACAAUAUCAGCUCACUGCAACUUCUGCCUCCUGGGUUCCGGCGAUUCUCCUGGAUUGAAUGCAUUUUGAAUGCAUGAUUUUGUAAUCUCAUUCACGGCCAUUUGGGAAAUAUUGCUUCCUUGAGUUAUACAGAUCUUCAAUGUUGACACAUUUCAUUAUAUGACAUCAUUUCAUUAUAUGACAUCCAUUGAUUCUCCUGCCUCAGCCUCCCGAAUAGCUGGGAUUACAGGUGCCUGCCACCGUGCCCCACUAAUUUUUGUAUUUUUAGGAGAGACAGGGUUUCACCAUGUUGGCCAGGUUGGUCUGGAACUCCUGACCUCAAGUGAUCCGCCCACCUUGGCCUCCCAAAAAUGCUGGGAUUACAGGCGUCAGCCACCGUGCCUGGCCAGUUUCAUUUUUGAAUAGGAUAACUGUGAUAGAUAUGACACAUACUCAGGUGCUCUUUGGGGUCUUCAAUCUUUUUUUUUUUUUUUUAAAGGGUACUGAAACAUUUGAAACACCACCAGAUGGCGCUGAUGAGACCAAAGAACAGAUUUUGUGUGCGUGAGAAAGGAAAAGAUGGAGAGAGAGAGGGAAAAUAUGAAAGUGGGAUCAUAGUAGUGAGUUUUAUGAUGUGAAAUUUCCCAAUGGCAGUGAUAUUUGUAGUCGCUAUAGGGAAAAAGUGACAGGCUUGGGAACCUAAUCAAUAGGUUUCUACAAUCUAAAUUAGAUGAGUAGAUUUAUGCCAAAUAAUAUGUUGGGCCUUUUUUUUUUUUAACUUCCUCUAACAAAAGCUAAGCACAUUCCUUGGAGGAGUUCCCUGCAGCCUCAGAAACUCAGCAGAUUAAACUGAAAGGGUUCAGUCUUUUCCAUUUUGUGUUGCUAAUAAGAUAACAUGAAUCUCUGAGGCUUAAAGGUGAAAUUUAGGCAGAGUCAUUCCAGGAAGGAGUGUACUAUAGAAACCUCACAGCCUGCAGCUUAUCCUCAUGGGUCCUUGGAAGCCCUAAGUGGGGAGGAGGAAGUUGGAGUGGAGGCUGCUGAGGUGGGGACGGGAGAGGCUGCCUCUGAGAUAGAGUUAGCUGGGUCUCUGGGUGACAAAAUUGUAUAAACGGCAGAGCUUUGUGUGAGGAACUAUAAACAGGCAUGGGAAAACUUGGAGCCAAAUUUAUUUUUCUUUCAAGGGCUGUCGGAAAUAGCUGACAAAGGCCAGAAUUCUUUUCCAGAGCUGAAGUUUUUAUUGGCAAUGCUCUUUUAAGGGCCACUAAUAAGAAGAAAAGCAAGAGUCUGACCUGAAGGUUGGCUUCAUAAGUGGGUUUAUGAGCUGCUGAAGAAGUGGGUGCAGUGGGGUAUCAACCCUCCCUCCCCUGCAGGCUGGGGGGGUACUCACAUAUUCACAAACACUUUUGGGAAACCCACUAUGUCUGCACUACGCACUAUGCAAGGUGCUGGAGCUACAGCGGAGACUGAACUAGACAUGGUCCCUACCCUCAAGAGGACUUGUUUGACAAAACAAAGUCAAUACUGAAGAAAUCUAAACAUUUUCAUGCCAAUGCCCCCACCCCCUACCCUGCCCCACAACUGAGUUUUAAAGUGUUUUCCUAGUCCACUCGGCUCAUUCUCCGGUAAAACAUAAUCAGUGCAACUGGCCCAGUCAAAUGGCAGGUUUUCCACAUGAAGAUGAGAGUCAGCAUGAUACUGAAAGGGGCUCAGAAGGGCAGGGGUGCUGCUUCACCUUGACUGCCUUUUCUUCUUGCCCUUCCCCCUUCCUGCCCUUCUUCUUCCUACAAAUAUUUAUUGAGCAUCUGCUAAGUGGUACAUGUUGAGACAACAAAGUUGGACAAGACAUACUUUGUCCAUAGCCCGGUAUGUGGAGCUUACAUGUAUGUAAAUGACAAUAAGAAGGGAAUUGCAAAUUGUGGUUAGAGGUAUGAAGAGCAUAGGGGAUGGAAACCAAUUUGAGAUAAAGAUGGUCAGAUAAAGUCACUACAGGAAAGUGAUUUUAAGUCAGGAUUUCUUAACUUUGGCACUUCUGAUAUUUUGGGUCAGACAAUUCUUUGCUAUAGGGGACUAUUCUGUGCAUUGCAGAAUGUUCAACAGCAUCCCUGGCCUCUGACCGCUGGAUGCCAGUAGCACCCCCUGACUUCCACUUAUGACAACCAAAAAUAUCUCCCAACAUUGCCAAAUGUCUCUUAAAGGGCAACACUGCUCCCUUUUGAGAACCGCUAAUUUAACCUGAGACUUAAAAAUGAUGAGCUCAUCCAGAGAGGAUUGCACUGAGGGUUUUAUAGGCCACAGUAAAGAAUUUGGGAUUUAUUCUAAGUAGAAGGCAAUCAGCAUUUUCCACUGGGGUGUCAUUACCUACUGUGAAUUUUGAAGAGAUCAUUCAGGCGGUGGAGUGGAGGAUGGAUUAACUGGAGUCAUAGACAAAGUCACAGCAGUCAUAGGUGGCUGUUGCAAUUGUCCACCCAAACCCAAGAAAUGAUGGUGGCCUCAGUUGGGUGUUGAUACUGGAGAUGAGGAGAAGAUUAAUGUUCAACAUUUUCAAUGUUUCACAUUUCCAAGAACAUCCAGGUCUUGCCAAUAGAUUUGAUGUGGAGAUUCCAUCCCUAAG